rnacentral:lncRNA from 1 species
UAUAUAUAUAUAGGGUCCGGCUACUAUCCUAUUAAUAGGAUUGGGACCCUUGUCCUAUCAAGUCAAUUUGAAUGAUCGGAACUUCAAAUUGAUAAUCGGCACCGUUGAAAUUGAUCUACACAAUUAGAGUGAGGCUACUAUGCUUUUAGAAGCAUGGAGCUUCUGUGCUUCCAUGUCGUUUUCAAUGUUGCGACUUUUGAAUCGUCGAUCAGCUCUGUUAAACUUGAUCUAGAGUAUUUGAAGUACCUAGAAAAUAAAUUUUAUGAUUUUUCGAUAUCAUUUGCCUAGUGAUCGAAGGGGCUCAAAAUCAAUAAUUUUACUUGCCAUAGUGAGCCGCCGUUUGCAAGUUUAACGGUGUAGAAAUAUCCAAAUUACGUAAAAUUUUGAUAAAAAAUUCUUUAUACUAUAUAAAACAAGAUCAAUAUAUUUAAUCUAAAAUUUUAAUGUCAUAUUAUCACGUUUUGUAAGAUUUUUAUUUUCAGCCGUUGAUUUUGAGCCCCUUCGUUCACUAGGCAAAUAAUAUCGAAAAAUCGCAUAAUUUAUUU